GCGCAGCAGGCGAGAAACCUCCGCAAUACACGAAGUGUGACGGGCCAUCCCGAGUGCCGUCCGCUGAGGACGGCUUUUCCCCAGUGUACAUAGCUGGGGAAUAAGGAGAGGGCAAGCCUGGUGUCAGCCGCCGCGGUAAUACCAGCGUCUCCGAGUGGUGGGGACGCUUAUUGGGCCUAAAGCAUCCGUAGCCGGCUGGGCAAGUCCUCCGUUAAAUCCAACGAUUCAAUCGUUGGGCUGCGGGGAUACUGUCCAGCUU
rnacentral:rRNA from 1 species